UACAGAGGGUGCAAGCGUUGUCCGGAUUUAUUGGGCGUAAAGAGCGUGUAGGCGGCCAGACAGGUCAGCUGUGAAAACUCGAGGCUCAACCUCGAGACGUCGGUUGAAACCGUCUGGCUAGAGUCCGGAAGAGGAGAGUGGAAUUCCCGGUGUAGCGGUGAAAUGCGCAGAUAUCGGGAAGAACACCCGUGGCGAAGGCGGCUCUCUGGGACGGUACUGACGCUGAGACGCGAAAGCGUGGGGAGCGAACAGG
rnacentral:rRNA from 1 species